GUCAAAUGAGUGGCUCAGCAAUGUAUGACACUACAAGAACUAUAAAAAGCUGCAGUGGAGGCCAGCAGUCUCAGGAGGACCGUCUGCUGCUUUCUUUGUAGACAGAGGGACUUUCUACCUUGGAUGAAUGAUUUAUGAAAUAAACGAGCCCAAACCCCACCAAAGAAAGCUGUGAAAAAGCUCCAAGGGUAAAUUGGGUUUUUUGAAUGGGAGCAAUAAAGAAUAUUUAGCAAGAGGGA